rnacentral:rRNA from 1 species
AUUGAACGCUGGCGGCAGGCUUAACACAUGCAAGUCGAGCGGGGAAGAGUAGCUUGCUACUUGACCUAGCGGCGGACGGGUGAGUAAUGCUUAGGAAUCUGCCUAUUAGUGGGGGACAACAUCUCGAAAGGGAUGCUAAUACCGCAUACGUCCUACGGGAGAAAGCAGGGGACCUUCGGGCCUUGCGCUAAUAGAUGAGCCUAAGUCGGAUUAGCUAGUUGGUGGGGUAAAGGCCUACCAAGGCGACGAUCUGUAGCGGGUCUGAGAGGAUGAUCCGCCACACUGGGACUGAGACACGGCCCAGACUCCUACGGGAGGCAGCAGUGGGGAAUAUUCGACAAUGGGGGGAACCCUGAUCCAGCCAUGCCGCGUGUGUGAAGAAGGCCUUUUGGUUGGAAAGCACUUUAAGCGAGGAGGAGGCUACCGAGAUUAAUACUCUUGGAUAGUGGACGUUACUCGCAGAAUAAGCACCGGCUAACUCUGUG